AUACGGAGGGUGCAAGCGUUAAUCGGAAUUACUGGGCGUAAAGCGUACGUAGGCGGUUAUUUAAGUCAGAUGUGAAAGCCCCGGGCUUAACUUGGGAACUGCAUUUGAAACUGGGUAACUAGAGUUUAGUAGAGGGGAGUGGAAUUUCAGGUGUAGCGGUGAAAUGCGUAGAGAUCUGAAGGAACACCAGUGGCGAGGGCGACUCCCUGGACUAAAACUGACGCUGAGGUACGAAAGCGUGGGUAGCAAACAGGAUUAGAAACCCUAGUAGUCC
rnacentral:rRNA from 1 species